AUCCAAGACAGGUGGUGCAUGGUUGUCGUCAGCUCGUGUCGUGAGAUGUUGGGUUAAGUCCCGCAACGAGCGCAACCCUUAUCCUUAGUAGCCAGCAGUAAGAUGGGCACUCUAGGGAGACUGCCGGAGACAAUCCGGAGGAAGGUGGGGAUGACGUCAAAUCAUCAUGCCCCUUAUGACUUGGGCUACACACGUGCUACAAUGGCGUAAACAAAGGGAAGCGAGACCGCGAGGUUAAGCAAAUCUCAAAAAUAACGUCUCAGUUCGGAUUGUAGUCUGCAACUCGACUACAUGAAGCUGGAAUCGCUAGUAAUCGCGAAUCAGCAUGUCGCGGUGAAUACGUUCCCGGGUCUUGUACACACCGCCCGUCACACCAUGGGAGUCGAUAACGCCCGAAGCCGGUGACUCAACCGAAAGGAGAGAGCCGUCGAAGGCGGGAUGGAUAACUGGGGUGAAGUCGUAACAAGGUAGCCGUAUCGGAAGGUGCGGCUGGAUCACCUCCUUU
rnacentral:rRNA from 1 species